GUGCUUGCGGGUCUGAGCAGCUCUUUCUUUUUCCCUUUCCCUCGAGACUCUCUCUGCCCCGUUUCUGGCAUUUUUCUUCUGGAUUUCGCAUAAGAAACCCUAGAUUUUGGGUGGAAAAAUGUCUGGCAAAGGAGCCAAAGGCUUGAUUACUGGUAAAUCCACUCUUAAUAACAAAGACAAGGACAAGAAGAAGCCUGUCUCUCGCUCCUCUCGCGCUGGUCUUCAGUUUCCUGUGGGGCGGGUUCAUCGUCUAUUGAAGACCAGGGCUUCCGCAAAUGGAAGGGUUGGGGCAACAGCUGCUGUUUAUACAGCAGCUAUACUGGAGUAUCUUACUGCUGAAGUGUUGGAGUUAGCAGGAAAUGCAAGCAAGGAUCUGAAGGUGAAACGCAUAACACCAAGGCAUUUGCAGCUUGCUAU
rnacentral:misc_RNA from 1 species